rnacentral:rRNA from 1 species
GACGAACGCUGGCGGCGUGCUUAACACAUGCAAGUCGAACGCUGAAGCUCAGCUUUUGUUGGGUGGAUAAGUGGCGAACGGGUGAGUAACACGUGAGUAACCUGCCCCCUUCUUUGGGAUAACGCCCGGAAACGGGUGCUAAUACUGGAUAUUCACUGGUCUUCGCAUGGGGGUUGGUGGAAAGGGUUUUUCUGGUGGGGGAUGGGCUCGCGGCCUAUCAGCUUGUUGGUGGGGUGAUGGCCUACCAAGGCUUUGACGGGUAGCCGGCCUGAGAGGGUGACCGGUCACAUUGGGACUGAGAUACGGCCCAGACUCCUACGGGAGGCAGCAGUGGGGAAUAUUGCACAAUGGGCGCAAGCCUGAUGCAGCGACGCCGCGUGAGGGAUGGAGGCCUUCGGGUUGUGAACCUCUUUCGCUCAUGGUCAAGCCGCAACAAUGGUUGUGGUGAGGGUAGUGGGUAAAGAAGCGCCGGCUAACUACGUG